CCUACGGGGAGCUGCAGUGAGGAAUAUUGGUCAAUGGACGAGAGUCUGAACCAGCCAAGUAGCGUGAAGGAUGACUGCCCUAUGGGUUGUAAACUUCUUUUAUAAAGGAAUAAAACGAGGCACGUGUGCCUUUUUGCAUGUACUUUAUGAAUAAGGAUCGGCUAACUCCGUGCCAGCAGCCGCGGUAAUACGGAGGAUCCGAGCGUUAUCCGGAUUUAUUGGGUUUAAAGGGAGCGGAGAUGGGUUGUUAAGUCAGUUGUUAAAGUUUGCGGCUCAACCGUAAAAUUGCAAUUGAUUAUGGCAGUCUUGAGUACAGUUGAGGUAGGCGGAAUUCGUGGUGUAGCGGUGAAAUGCUUAGAUAUCACGAAGAACCCCGAUUGCGAAGGCAGCUUACUAAACUGUGACUGACAUUGAUGCUCGAAAGUGUGGGUAUCAAACAGGAUUAGAUACCCUAGUAGUC
rnacentral:rRNA from 1 species